GACGAACGCUGGCGGCGUGCUUAACACAUGCAAGUCGAACGGACAGGCCCUGCUUUUGUGGGGUGCUCGAGUGGCGAACGGGUGAGUAACACGUGAGUAACCUGCCCUUGACUUUGGGAUAACUUCAGGAAACUGGGGCUAAUACCGGAUAGGAGCUCCUGCUGCAUGGUGGGGGUUGGAAAGUUUCGGCGGUUGGGGAUGGACUCGCGGCUUAUCAGCUUGUUGGUGGGGUAGUGGCUUACCAAGGCUUUGACGGAUAGCCGGCCUGAGAGGGUGACCGGCCACAUUGGGACUGAGAUACGGCCCAGACUCCUACGGGAGGCAGCAGUGGGGAAUAUUGCACAAUGGGCGGGAGCCUGAUGCAGCAACGCCGCGUGCGGGAUGACGGCCUUCGGGUUGUAAACCGCAUUCGCCUGUGACGAAGCGUGAGUGACGGUAAUGGGUAAAGAAGCACCGGCUAACUACGUG
rnacentral:rRNA from 1 species